GUUAAACCUGGCUGUGACGAGGGCUAAAGAAGAUUUAGCAGCUUACAAGGACGAAAUUGAAAAUCUCAAAAAGGAUUUUGAGAUGAAAGCGUCAUCUAUAAACAAGGAGGUAAAAGAUGUGGAAUGUGCCCUCCAAGUCCAAGCUGAAUUCCAAGAUGCUUCAACUUGUACGACCGGCAGUAUAACAUCCUCCAGAAGGAUCAGCUGCAGGGCUGCCAACAACAAAACUAAAAGGCACAGGAGUGACAAUUCUUCAAGACUGGAUAAGCACAACCUCAACCAUUUACCAUUCCAAUGCAUAUCCAGUUUGAAAAUCAGUAGAUCAAAUUGGGAGCUACCUAUGCUGACCCAAGGAUCUAAAUUUCUUGCAGCCUACUAUGCCAAGAAAAGUGGCGC